AGGGUAACGAUGCGGCCCCUAAAGUCCGCGUCACUUAAAAAGGUAAAAAGGUAAAAAUUAUG
rnacentral:sRNA from 1 species